AUUGAACGCUGGCGGCAGGCCUAACACAUGCAAGUCGAACGAGUGGCGGACGGGUGAGUAAUGUCUGGGAAACUGCCUGAUGGAGGGGGAUAACUACUGGAAACGGUAGCUACUACCGCAUACCAUCGGAUGUGCCCAGAUGGGAUUAGCUAGUAGGUGGGGUAACGGCUCACCUAGGCGACGAUCCCUAGCUGGUCUGAGAGGAUGACCAGCCACACUGGAACUGGGACACGGUCCAGACUCCUACGGGGGGCAGAGGUGGGGAAUAUUGCACAAUGGGCGCAAGCCUGAUGCAGCCAUGCCGGGUGUAUGAAGAAGUCCUUCGGGUUGUAAAGUACUUUCAGCGGGGAGACGUUACCCGCAGAAAAAGCACCGGCAAACACCGUGCCAGCAGCCGCGUAAUUC
rnacentral:rRNA from 1 species